rnacentral:rRNA from 1 species
AGUGAACGCUGGCGGUAGGCCUAACACAUGCAAGUCGAACGGCAGCACAGUAAGAGCUUGCUCUUACGGGUGGCGAGUGGCGGACGGGUGAGGAAUACAUCGGAAUCUACUUUUUCGUGGGGGCUAACGUAGGGAAACUUACGCUAAUACCGCAUACGACCUACGGGUGAAAGCAGGGGAUCUUCGGACCUUGCGCGAUUGAAUGAGCCGAUGUCGGAUUAGCUAGUUGGCGGGGUAAAGGCCCACCAAGGCGACGAUCCGUAGCUGGUCUGAGAGGAUGAUCAGCCACACUGGAACUGAGACACGGUCCAGACUCCUACGGGAGGCAGCAGUGGGGAAUAUUGGACAAUGGGCGCAAGCCUGAUCCAGCCAUGCCGCGUGGGUGAAGAAGGCCUUCGGGUUGUAAGGCCCUUUUGUUGGGAAAGAAAAGCAGCAGGUUAAUACCCCGCUGUUCUGACGGUACCCAAAGAAUAAGCACCGGCUAACUUCGUG